UUCUAUCCGUCUUUUCCCCCCUGAUUUAGCUUGAUCAAAGUCCAUUUGAUCAACUAGAUCCUACAACCUUGCACUUCCCUUUUUAUCUUUGUCAAAUGACCAUAAGUCCCUUGGUCACUUGAUAGAACUUGUCUCUAUUACUUUAGAGCUUCAACCUCUCAACAAGCACAAGACCUUAAGCACCAGUCAGACAUCAGUCAUCUUCC
rnacentral:lncRNA from 1 species